UACAGAGGGUGCAAGCGUUAAUCGGAAUUACUGGGCGUAAAGCGUGCGCAGGCGGUUCGCCAAGUCAGGUGUGAAAUCCCCGGGCUUAACCUGGGAAUUGCGCUUGAAACUAGCGGGCUUGAGUGCGGCAGAGGGGGGUGGAAUUCCACGUGUAGCAGUGAAAUGCGUAGAGAUGUGGAGGAACACCGAUGGCGAAGGCAGCCCCCUGGGUCGACACUGACGCUCAUGCACGAAAGCGUGGGGAGCAAACAGG
rnacentral:rRNA from 1 species